GUCAUCAUGGAAGAAGAGCCUCCCAGACUUCUGAUGCAAGAGACUGAUGGGUACAACGGCAUCAUUCUAAUGGUAAAGAAGCCUUGUGGAAUAAUCCACAAAUGAAAGAAGGAACAUUCACUCUUUGCCAUGCGGAUGGUACUCGGUGGCCUAUAGAGGAUUUUGAAAAGGAACAUGCAAGCCUUAGUGAGAUUAAGGAUGUCUGGAAAAAAACCUUCUACAUUGGACACAGACCCAUAGGAAGAAGUUAGCGGUUUGGAACACUCAAUUGCAGAACAAAAAAGGAACCGCAAAACAAACUAUGUGGAAGAGGCAAGUAUUGCAUUUCUUCAAAACACACAUUUUAAUCAUUGUAU